AUGAACGCUGGCGGCGUGCUUAACACCUGCCAGUCGAACGAAGCACUUUAACCUGAUUCUUCGGAUGAAGGUUUUUGUGACUGAGUGGCGGACGGGUGAGUAACGCGUGGGUAACCUGCCUCAUACAGGGGGAUAACAGUUAGAAAUGACUGCUAAUACCGCAUAAGACCACAGAGCCGCAUGGCUCGGUGGGAAAAACUCCGGUGGUAUGAGAUGGACCCGCGUCUGAUUAGGUAGUUGGUGGGGUAACGGCCUACCAAGCCAACGAUCAGUAGCCGACCUGAGAGGGUGACCGGCCACAUUGGGACUGAGACACGGCCCAAACUCCUACGGGAGGCAGCAGUGGGGAAUAUUGCACAAUGGGGGAAACCCUGAUGCAGCGACGCCGCGUGAGCGAAGAAGUAUUUCGGUAUGUAAAGCUCUAUCAGCAGGGAAGAAAAUGACGGUACCUGACUAAGAAGCACCGGCUAAAUACGUG
rnacentral:rRNA from 1 species